rfam:Scytonema tolypothrichoides VB-61278 scaffold_0, whole genome shotgun sequence.
GGGAGCCGUAUGCACAGAAAUGGGCACGUACGGAUCUAACUGAGAGGUGCGGGACAUAAUAGCCCCCAUCGACUCAAC